rnacentral:lncRNA from 1 species
CUCCCUCAAACUGAAGAUUUCUCUCAAAUCUCUUUUUCCAUCGAUUUUCACCCUUCAAAUCACCCGUUUAGGAACCAACUUUCUCUCCUCUUUCUUCCUCAUUUGGAUGGUUCGAGCUUGCCCUAGAUUCUACCUCUCUUCUCUAAAUCGGUGCUUCACCUCUCCAAAAUCUUGGCUUUUCCACUAGAAUCUUUUUCUCUCUACCUUAUUUAGUCUCCUAAACUCC